rnacentral:tRNA from 1 species
CGGGACGUAGCGCAGUCUGGUUAGCGUACAAGUCUGGGGGACUUGGGGUCGCCGGUUCGAAUCCGGCCGUCCCGACCA